GCCUAAUACAUGCAAGUCGAACGAUGAAGCUUCUAGCUUGCUAGAAUGCUGAUUAGUGGCGCACGGGUGAGUAACGCAUAGGUUAUGUGCCUCUUAGUUUGGGAUAGCCAUUGGAAACGAUGAUUAAUACCAGAUACUCCCUACGGGGGAAAGAUUUAUCGCUAAGAGAUCAGCCUAUGUCCUAUCAGCUUGUUGGUAAGGUAAUGGCUUACCAAGGCUAUGACGGGUAUCCGGCCUGAGAGGGUGAACGGACACACUGGAACUGAGACACGGUCCAGACUCCUACGGGAGGCAGCAGUAGGGAAUAUUGCUCAAUGGGGGAAACCCUGAAGCAGCAACGCCGCGUGGAGGAUGAAGGUUUUAGGAUUGUAAACUCCUUUUGUUAGAGAAGAUAAUGACGGUAUCUAACGAAUAAGCACCGGCUAACUCCGUGCCAGCAGCCGCGGUAAUACGGAGGGUGCAAGCGUUACUCGGAAUCACUGGGCGUAAAGAGCGCGUAGGCGGGAUAGUCAGUCAGGUGUGAAAUCCUAUGGCUUAACCAUAGAACUGCAUUUGAAACUACUAUUCUAGAGUGUGGGAGAGGUAGGUGGAAUUCUUGGUGUAGGGGUAAAAUCCGUAGAGAUCAAGAGGAAUACUCAUUGCGAAGGCGACCUGCUGGAACAUUACUGACGCUGAUUGCGCGAAAGCGUGGGGAGCAAACAGGAUUAGAUACCCUGGUAGUCCACGCCCUAAACGAUGGAUGCUAGUUGUUGGAGGGCUUAGUCUCUCCAGUAAUGCAGCUAACGCAUUAAGCAUCCCGCCUGGGGAGUACGGUCGCAAGAUUAAAACUCAAAGGAAUAGACGGGGACCCGCACAAGCGGUGGAGCAUGUGGUUUAAUUCGAAGAUACACGAAGAACCUUACCUAGGCUUGACAUUGAGAGAAUCCGCUAGAAAUAGUGGAGUGUCUGGCUUGCCAGACCUUGAAAACAGGUGCUGCACGGCUGUCGUCAGCUCGUGUCGUGAGAUGUUGGGUUAAGUCCCGCAACGAGCGCAACCCCCUUUCUUAGUUGCUAACAGGUCAUGCUGAGAACUCUAAGGAUACUGCCUCCGUAAGGAGGAGGAAGGUGGGGACGACGUCAAGUCAUCAUGGCCCUUACGCCUAGGGCUACACACGUGCUACAAUGGGGUGCACAAAGAGAAGCAAUACUGCGAAGUGGAGCCAAUCUUCAAAACACCUCUCAGUUCGGAUUGUAGGCUGCAACUCGCCUGCAUGAAGCUGGAAUCGCUAGUAAUCGCAAAUCAGCCAUGUUGCGGUGAAUACGUUCCCGGGUCUUGUACUCACCGCCCGUCACACCAUGGGAGUUGUGUUUGCCUUAAGUCAGGAUGCUAAA
rnacentral:rRNA from 1 species